UACGUAGGUCCCGAGCGUUGUCCGGAUUUAUUGGGCGUAAAGCGAGCGCAGGUGGUUUAAUAAGUCUGAUGUAAAAGGCAGUGGCUCAACCAUUGUGUGCAUUGGAAACUGUUAGACUUGAGUGCAGUAGAGGAGAGUGGAAUUCCAUGUGUAGCGGUGAAAUGCGUAGAUAUAUGGAGGAACACCGGUGGCGAAAGCGGCUCUCUGGCCUGUAACUGACACUGAUGCUCGAAAGCGUGGGGAGCAAACAGG
rnacentral:rRNA from 1 species